rnacentral:misc_RNA from 1 species
UCCUGUGUUGUUUGCCUAACGUGACGGAAAUUGAGCCCGGAUGAGUCAUAAUUUUUCCCUCUCACCAAUUCGUGGUGUUAGGUUGACGUGGAAGUACUGCCCAUUCUCCUUGAAUGCYWCGCCCUCUUGCGUUGCAGUCAUGGCCCAUGGGUUGUUACUAGCUCCCUCGGAUGCAGAACUUUUGAAGGGGGCACGGCAUGUUGCCGUUGUUUACCCACAAAGCGUUCGUUGCUCGAUGCGUACGACAUCUGUGCACGUCUUGGUCCCMUCCUUAACUAGUUUUGGAUKGGGCCCAUGCGGUGCCGGCGUCGCCAAGGAAUGCUACCUGGUUGAUCCUGCCAGUAGUCAUAUGCUUGUCUCAA